UUGCACAUUCACGAUGCUCGCAUCCAUCCUCUCUGUCCCUUGUUCUGCUCUGUGUAAGCCUCCACGGAGACUCCCUGAUUUACGAUGGACGCGCGGGACCAGCCGUGAGUGCCCACUCCCGAGGCGCCGGGGCGACGCGGCGCAUCCGCACACCCAGUUCUUGUGAAGUUAGAAUACAGCAGGAACUCUUCAAGGCUAGAGAGUGGGUGGAUCGCCAGUUCUCCAAGAAAAGAUAUGUACAUGUAUAUUUUUAACUAACGGGCUAUUCGCAAGGACUAGGUUGUUUAUUCACUUAAAGCAGCCCCUGUUUAGUCUCCUUGAGCCACAAGAUAGGAAGGUCCCUUGCGGCUUUCUGGUAAUGAAUGACCUAAGAGCAAGACCACCACAACAUGCGGGGAAAAGGAGAGUCGUUUCCCCGACCUCGAGAUCUGCAGGACUGAAGUGAAACGUUUUGAGCUUCAAGCCGAGUCAUCAAAAUCCCGGCGCUUUUAAAACUGACGGAAAUUAUAAUGAUUUUGAAGACUAGAUGCAAAUAAGAAAUGUAGAACACUAAACUAACUAAAUUUAAGGU